GCACAUGGAACAUAAUACACAAAUAAUUCAGAGGAACCAAUUAAAUGGACUGUGGCGCUAGAAUCCAUAAUUCAUGGUUUCUUCUCAUGAAUACUAAUAAGACUGAAGGACCGAGGUAUACUUGAUUGGGUAAUGGUAACUAAAGUAGUAGGACUGGGAUUGACCUGAUUCUCAUGUAGAUUAGGUGGUUGAGAAGGUCCAGCAAACUUACUCACAUAUACCCAUCUAGUGUUAUUUUUGUCGUUUGAAGGAUGUUUUUUUCCUUUUGGAGGAUGGUCAUGUAACUUUCAACAUUGUGCCUUGGUAUGGUAUUGUUUCAUGCAAUGAUCAUAGACUGGAACUAGUUUUCCAUUGCAUUCUUUUCACUGCCACUAGAGGAUCUCGCACUAAAAGCAGUGAAGUCAAUAGCCAAGAUUGUUGAAAUAUUCAUAACAUUUGUAAGAUCCUUCAAGACAGAUUAUAUUUCAAAGCAGAACUCCAUGAAGAAGGGAAUCGGUCUCUGGCCCAAUAUACGUCCACGAACUAUAUCAAGCUUAGAGUUAAGACUAGCAAGAAAGUCAUAAAUCAUGUCAAUCUCUUCAACUCUAGAGUACUAUACAUUAUCACUGGGACUACUCCAGACUAGUUCUCUCAUAGAUCCAUUUCCUGCUAGAUAAGAGAGAUCUUGUUAAAAAAGAUGUAACAUUCAUGGUCUCUUGCUUGCAUUCAUGUACUUGUUUUCGUAUUGUAUAUAGGCGAGAGGUAUUUUGACGUUUGGAAUACAGUUUCUGGGUUGUGUCCCAAAUAUCUUUAUCAGUUGCAACGUAGAGUAAAGGUUUUCGAAUAUGUAACUCCAUGUUAUUGAUCAAUGUGGAUCAAAGAAGAGAAUCUUCUCAUUUCUAGUACAGUUUUUUAGGGUCCUCAAGUAGAGGAUGAGAUAUUUCUCCUAUCAGAAAACUGAAUUUAUGUCGUUCUUUAAGAACCAUUUUCACUGACUGAGACCAUAAGAAAUAGUUAUUUUCGUUAAAUUUUUCCCCUGAAAAAUAUCUUGUAGACUGAGCCAAUGAAUUAGUCACAUAAGGAGAGGAUACAAAGGGGAAUGAGGUUAGUAGAUUCUCAAAAUACAUUGGCAAAGAUAUAUGAAGACCACGACCAGGAGUCUUGGAUGUUGCCUCUAAGUUAGCCUCAAUUGCUGCAAUCUGCUGCCAAAGCCCUCUAGUUGCUGAUGAGCUACACUCGAAGAAGUAGAGGUUGCACGUUAGGGUUGGAAUGUGUCGAAGACUCUCCAACUUUAAAUGUUAAGUAGAUUUGAGGAUGGCCAACCCCGGGAUGAUUGCUAGGAUUUGGAAUAAAGUUGGUGGAUGACAACACAUAUAGGUUGAACAGCAGAAGCGAUGAUGGCUGGACGGAGGUAGAUGGCAAAACCUGAAGCGGCGCAUUGAAGGCAUUAACAACUAUGGAUGAAGGCAAAGGUGGUAAGGAUGGGUUGGUCGGCAUUUUUUGAACGGAUGGGUAGGUUCAGGGUCUUCGAUGGGGGCGUGUGGAGGUGUGUACAAUAGAGAAAAUGAUGGGUUUAGGUGGUCGACGUUGUCUGAAGCCAUCGAAAUCACCAUUCAUCCAUGGUAGCACCAAUACGAGCAUCGACGAUGACAACACUAAUGGCGGCUGUCUCCUCUGUUAGUUUACAACAAGUGUUUAACCUUCUAGGGUUUCAUCGAUACCUUGCUCUAAUACCAUAUUGAAAAAAAAAAAAGAAGAAGAAACAAACAACUUUACAUUGAAACCUUAGAACAGGGAGAAAAACCACAUGAUGCUCUCUCUUUUAUUAUUUUUCUAUAUAUCAUAAUGAUACAAGGAACAUUUAUUUAUAGGUUAUAGAAGCCAAAAUAAAAUAAUGAAAAAUAUUGAAGGCACUAUA
rnacentral:lncRNA from 1 species